rnacentral:rRNA from 1 species
AGCGAACGCUGGCGGCAGGCUUAACACAUGCAAGUCGAGCGCCCCGCAAGGGGAGCGGCAGACGGGUGAGUAACACGUGGGAACGUACCCUUCAGUUCGGAACAACCCAGGGAAACUUGGGCUAAUACCGGAUACGUCCGUAAGGAGAAAGAUUUAUCGCUGAAGGAUCGGCCCGCGUCUGAUUAGCUAGUUGGUGAGGUAAUGGCUCACCAAGGCUACGAUCAGUAGCUGGUCUGAGAGGAUGAUCAGCCACAUUGGGACUGAGACACGGCCCAAACUCCUACGGGAGGCAGCAGUGGGGAAUGUUGGACAAUGGGGGCAACCCUGAUCCAGCCAUGCCGCGUGAGUGAUGAAGGCCCUAGGGUUGUAAAGCUCUUUUAGCGGGGAAGAUAAUGACGGUACCCGCAGAAAAAGCCCCGGCUAACUUCGUGCCAGCCGCCGCAGUAA